UCCUAACUGCAUCAUUGUCCUAAUUGAGAUU
rnacentral:piRNA from 1 species